rnacentral:rRNA from 1 species
UACGAAGGGGGCUAGCGUUGUUCGGAAUCACUGGGCGUAAAGGGCGCGUAGGCGGCGCGACAAGUCAGGCGUGAAAUCCCCAGGCUCAACCUGGGAACUGCGUCUGAUACUGGAUGGCUUGAAUCCGGGAGAGGGAUGCAGAAUUCCAGGUGUAGCGGUGAAAUGCGUAGAUAUCUGGAGGAAUACCGGUGGCGAAGGCGGCAUCCUGGACCGGCAUUGACGCUGAGGAGCGAAAGCCAGGGGAGCAAACGGG